UGGCUGCUGGAACCGAUGGACAGGAAGGCGAUGAAACAACUGCAGAAAAGCAAAGAAGAGAACAUGUUGCUUGCUGGUAGAUCUCUGCUUUUUCUAUCGAGUUGCAACUCCUUUUAUACUUCCUCGUCCCUGUUUCGUAGGUGAAGAACCACUGCGAUUUUAACAUAUUUUCCAUUUUUGUCUGUCUUGCCACUGAUUUUUACAUGCAAAGCUACUGGGUGCGGUUCAAGGACAGCACUGUACAAAAAAAUGCGUAGACGUUCGUUGACGAUGACGGAUCCGCGCUACAGGAAAUCCUUAUUCUCACAAGUACUACAUGGAUUCACACACAGUCAUAUGGACUUCAUAAAGAAAAAAUGUCAGGUUCUCUUCCAUUGUAAAGAAUAGGAAAAAGGUUAGAGACCGGACUUGGCUCCAAAGAAGAUGCUACCAAGUGCUGUUUUCUCAUCUACUAUUUAGAAAUCUAAUUUUUUCUACGUCUUCCGUCAUUGUCACUUCAAAGGGGAAAACAGCAAUCCACUCAUUCACAUGUCGAUGACUUCCGUAAGAACGUCGGCCAGCUGGAAAACUUGUUUGAAAAAGAAAAGAUCAUUUCAAAUCAGAAAAUCUAAAAAUAAAGUUAAUUGUAGUACAGUCCAGUGACGACUUUAUUAACGAGUUCUUACAUUUUAUGAGACUAAUCGACGUUUCGUUAUUCUCCUUAUUCAGAUACAACCAAGUUAAAUCUUAAUAUCUAUGGGAUGAAUGGAAUGGGAAACGUGCGAGAUGGAACCAAAUAGGAACUGCCAUUUCAAAAUCUCGGUAAUUGGACACUGAUUCCGCUCAUUGAUUCCACUAAGUUGGAGAGAGUUUUCUAAAAAUAUUUUGCAUGUUGCUGUAUUUCAUGUGCUGGGGGCAAAGCAGCUGACAAGAAAGAGCUACAAUAAUUAAAAAUCCACACAUCGGCGAUAAAGUGCCAAGGAAACGGACCGCCUUCCUCCUACCGCUUCAAUUUCUCCUUUUUCAAGAGUUUUUGAAUACUGACCUUGUUGAAAGAGGAGAAAUCAACGUCUGCUUUUAAGAUAAUCCAUCAUAUACAGAUGGAUAAACCCGCUAGACAACAACCAGAAUAGCUGCCCGUUCUCCCUGUUUCCAUAACAAAAAAACAAGACUGAUGGUAAAAAAAAAAAAAAACAUUGGCAACAAAAGCAAAGGUAAAUCCUGAACGGGUCAUUACCUUGGGAGGAAUGAUUGAUCAAAUGGCAACAUUUGCACGAAUCUCAGUUAAUCCAUUUUCAGAUAGUUCAUUGACCCUUACAUUCCCCCCAAAUUUCACGCUCUCCAAUAGCAAAAUCCUUGACAAUUAGUCCCUCAAAUUUAGUUUUUAGUGUAAAAUUCAAUUCUUACAUCAAGUUAUUGGCCAUUGGAUGCGCUUACUCAACGUAGCGUGAUCUGAUUUAAUUGUUAACGAAAGCUUUCUUAACGUCUCGCUAAUGUCUAAAGCAAGUGUAAAAUCCAGAAAACGUUCUUAGUAUCUUUUCUCCUUUUUUUGCAAUCGGUUGAACUCGUUGGAGAUUCUAAAUUUUUAUUUAUAAUAUCCGAAUUGUUUCCAAACCUAUGAAUCCAAAUGGCGGAAUGGAUACCAUGGUGGAAGAUUGUCGUUUGAUCCGGGCUGGCUGCAGAAUUUUAUGGUCAAUAGUGUCCUGCCUUUGAAAGUUUUGACGUUAAAUCAAUUCCAGCACUGCUGUUUAAAGUUUUAUCUUUAUUUAUUAUUUUUAUUAAUCAUUUUUUAAAGCUUUGUUCAUCGGUAAACCCUUCCAUAGAAUUCAGAAUAUUGGUCUCCUGUAAAUUAGUCAUUUUUGGUUGGUUUAUGUUAAGGAUGAGUUAGCAGCGUGCCCAUAGAUUAAAGAGUUCCUUUUAAUCAAUACUGCCUUGUAAGGUAACUUCUGUUUGCACUUGGGGUUUCAAUUCAUCCCCCCAUCUUUACAAACCAAGACGUGAAGACCAUUGGUCAUUGCUCAACUGCAGUCCGGAGUGGGCCCUCAGAAAUGGGAGACCUUGGAUUGCUUUUGCAUCCUUGUCUCACCAAUUCCUUGAUCUGUAAAAGUGUAGAAAUCACAAGGUGUAAUGCGAAAUGUGAGUACGAAUCUGCUGCCGAAGAUAUUGUUUGAGACCGUUUAUUGGUAAAUAUUGAAAA
rnacentral:lncRNA from 1 species